GAGUGUGGCUCAGCGGUAGAGCGAUCAUCUAGCACACGUGAGGCCCUGGGUUCGAUCCUCAGCACCA
rnacentral:tRNA from 1 species